rnacentral:rRNA from 1 species
GUGUCAGCAGCCGCGGUAAUACAGAGGGUGCAAACGUUGUUCGGAAUUACUGGGCGUAAAGCGCGUGUAGGCGGCAGCGUAAGUCGGGCGUGAAAUCCCAUGGCUCAACCAUGGAAGUGCACCCGAAACUGCGCAGCUAGAGUCCUGGAGAGGAAGGUGGAAUACUUGGUGUAGAGGUGAAAUUCGUAGAUAUCAAGUGGAACACCGGUGGCGAAGGCGGCCUUCUGGACAGUGACUGACGCUGAGACGCGAAAGCGUGGGGAGCAAACAGGAUUAGAAACCCUUGUAGUCC